rnacentral:tmRNA from 1 species
GGGGAUGCACUGGUUUCGACGGAGGUCGUUGUGAGGGUGAUAAGCAAGCCGCAGUAGAAAACUCUGCGUUAUCAAAGUUCAACCUAAAGCAAACGCUGAUAGCGAAACUUAUGCAGAGCCUGCUCUGCUUGCUGCCUAACUUUUAGGCAGCCUUCCUGCCGGUUCUUUUCCUGUCUGGAACCGGUUCGGGAGUCAAAUUAAGACGGGCAACUGUACCGCCUAAGCUUUGCGGCGGCACAGUAUUUAUGAAGCUACUUCUUACAGUUUCUUGUGGUUUUUGGGCUGUUUGAAGGAAAUAAACGGAAACCAAUAAGCUUGUAGAAAGUUGCCCAGGCAAACUUUCGGACAGGGGUUCGAUUCCCCUCAUCUCCACCA